GCCCGAAUGGCCCAGUGGUAAAGGCGUCGCUCUUGUAGUACCUAAAAGCGAAGAUCCCGUGUUCAACUCGCGGUUUGGGCA